rnacentral:rRNA from 1 species
ACUUUAAAAAAGAUGAUAUGUUCUUCAUAACUUAAAGAAUUUGGCGGUUUAUUUUAAUUUUCAGAGGAACCUGUUAUAUAAAUGAUAAACCACGAUAGUUUAAACCUUUUUAUUAUUUGUAUACCUCUAUAUUAAAUUGUUUUAAUAGAAUAUUUUUUUUUAAUAUAUUUUAUAAUUUUAGGUCAAGGUGCAGUUUUUUAUUGGAAAUAAUGGGUUACUUUAUUUUUAGAUUUUUAAUUUUAAUAAUUUUAUUAAUUUUGUUUAUAUAGGAUUUGAAAGUAAAAUUUAAUAAUUUUUAUUUUUGAAUAUU